ACAGCAGCCUCUACAUGGUGCGAAGCCUACUGCAACAAAAACGUGAUCUUAGUGUCUUUGCAACUGAGCACACUCUACCAGCAACACUGACAGCUCACCAGUGGGAGCUGAUAGAUAAGACUGCUGAUGUGCUCUCAUCCAUUGAAGAGCUGACCAGAAACGUGAACAGAAAGACUGCAACUGCACCUGAUGGGAUCCCUGCCAUAACAGAUGUGUUCUGUCCAGUGAAGGCAGUGGAGAAGCCCUAAACUGAUGUUGAAACUGUGCCACUCUUCUAGAAACCAGCUACAAGGAUGGGCAGCUGUUUUUGCAAAGUCAGCCAACCUCUUGCUUCCAAAUGACCCUUAUCCAGAAGUAUCCGUGAGUGCCUCAUCAACAGAAAUUAAAGUGGAGACCUACCUCUCAGAGAAAAACGCACACAUAAGAAAAGCGACCCACUUCAGUACUGGAAAGAACAUCCUAAUCUGUUUCCCUCUAUGGCUGCUGUUGUGAUCCCAGUGUGCCACCUGUAGCUCUGUGGACAGUUUUUGAUUUGUUUACAUCUCACCCCAACCGGUCGCGGCAGAUGGCUGCACCUCCCUGAGCCUGGUUCUGCCGGAGGUUUCUUCCUGUCAAAAGGGAGUUUUUCCUUCCCACUGUCGCCAAAGUGCUUGCUCAUAGGGGGUCAUAUGAUUGUUGGGUUUAUCUAUAUACAUUAAUGCUUGCAUGCUUUUCAUUUAUA